rnacentral:piRNA from 1 species
UGCUGUGAUAAAGUUCUCUGACGAAAGCCA